rnacentral:rRNA from 1 species
GACACGUGGUAUCCUGUCUGAAUAUGGGGGGACCAUCCUCCAAGGCUAAAUACUCCUGACUGACCGAUAGUGAACCAGUACCGUGAGGGAAAGGCGAAAAGAACCCCGGCGAGGGGAGUGAAAAAGAACCUGAAACCGUGUACGUACAAGCAGUGGGAGCCUCUUUUAUGGGGUGACUGCGUACCUUUUGUAUAAUGGGUCAGCGACUUAUAUUCUGUAGCAAGGUUAACCGAAUAGGGGAGCCGAAGGGAAACCGAGUCUUAACUGGGCGUUAAGUUGCAGGGUAUAGACCCGAAACCCGGUGAUCUAGCCAUGGGCAGGUUGAAGGUUGGGUAACACUAACUGGAGGACCGAACCGACUAAUGUUGAAAAAUUAGCGGAUGACUUGUGGCUGGGGGUGAAAGGCCAAUCAAACCGGGAGAUAGCUGGUUCUCCCCGAAAGCUAUUUAGGUAGCGCCUCGUGAACUCAUCUCCGGGGGUAGAGCACUGUUUCGGCAAGGGGGUCAUCCCGACUUACCAACCCGAUGCAAACUGCGAAUACCGGAGAAUGUUAUCACGGGAGACACACGGCGGGUGCUAACGUCCGUCGUGAAGAGGGAAACAACCCAGACCGCCAGCUAAGGUCCCAAAGUCAUGGUUAAGUGGGAAACGAUGUGGGAAGGCCCAGACAGCCAGGAUGUUGGCUUAGAAGCAGCCAUCAUUUAAAGAAAGCGUAAUAGCUCACUGGUCGAGUCGGCCUGCGCGGAAGAUGUAACGGGGCUAAACCAUGCACCGAAGCUGCGGCAGCGACACUAUGUGUUGUUGGGUAGGGGAGCGU